UGCAGUCGAGCGGACAGAAGGGAGCUUGCUCCCGGAUGUUAGCGGCGGACGGGUGAGUAACACGUGGGUAACCUGCCUGUAAGACUGGGAUAACUCCGGGAAACCGGAGCUAAUACCGGAUAGUUCCUUGAACCGCAUGGUUCAAGGAUGAAAGACGGUUUCGGCUGUCACUUACAGAUGGACCCGCGGCGCAUUAGCUAGUUGGUGAGGUAACGGCUCACCAAGGCGACGAUGCGUAGCCGACCUGAGAGGGUGAUCGGCCACACUGGGACUGAGACACGGCCCAGACUCCUACGGGAGGCAGCAGUAGGGAAUCUUCCGCAAUGGACGAAAGUCUGACGGAGCAACGCCGCGUGAGUGAUGAAGGUUUUCGGAUCGUAAAGCUCUGUUGUUAGGGAAGAACAAGUGCAAGAGUAACUGCUUGCACCUUGACGGUACCUAACCAGAAAGCCACGGCUAACUACGUGCCAGCAGCCGCGGUAAUACGUAGGUGGCAAGCGUUGUCCGGAAUUAUUGGGCGUAAAGGGCUCGCAGGCGGUUUCUUAAGUCUGAUGUGAAAGCCCCCGGCUCAACCGGGGAGGGUCAUUGGAAACUGGGAAACUUGAGUGCAGAAGAGGAGAGUGGAAUUCCACGUGUAGCGGUGAAAUGCGUAGAGAUGUGGAGGAACACCAGUGGCGAAGGCGACUCUCUGGUCUGUAACUGACGCUGAGGAGCGAAAGCGUGGGGAGCGAACAGGAUUAGAUACCCUGGUAGUCCACGCCGUAAACGAUGAGUGCUAAGUGUUAGGGGGUUUCCGCCCCUUAGUGCUGCAGCUAACGCAUUAAGCACUCCGCCUGGGGGAGUACGGUCGCAAGACUGAGACUCAAAGGAAUUGACGGGGGGCCCGCACAAGCGGUGGAGCAAGUGGGUUUAAUUCGAAGCAACGCGGAAGAAACCUUACCAGGGUCUUGGACAUCCUCCUGACAAACCCUAGAGAAUAGGGCUUUUCCCUU
rnacentral:rRNA from 1 species